rnacentral:rRNA from 1 species
GCCUACGGCCGUACCACCCUGAAUGCGCCUGAUCUUGUCUGAUCUCAGAAGCUAAGCAGGCUUGGGCCUGGUUAGUACUUGGAUGAGAGACUGCCUGAGAAUACUAGGUGCUGUAGGCU